UCUUUAUGGCAGGUGCUGCUUAGAGAGAGUCAUAUUUUCCGUCCUGGUCAAUAUGACCCCUCUCAAAGCAGCACCUGCCAUAAGAAUCA